UACUAGCGGUCCAAGUCGCAGCCAUUUUUAUUGGGUCUAAAACAUCCGUAGCUUGUUUGGUAAGUUCCUUGUGAAAUUUCGUAUCUCAAGUAUGAAGCGUGCAAGAAAUACUGCCAAACUAGAGACUGGAAGACGUAAGGAGUACGUUCGAAGUAGUGGUAAAAUAUUUUAAUCUCGAGCGGACUUACAACAGCGAAGGCACCUUACGAGGACAGUUCUGACAGUAAGGGAUGAAGGCUAGGGGCGCAAAACGGAUUAGAUACCCCCGUA
rnacentral:rRNA from 1 species